UAGACGAGAGCCAGAACAAUAUACCAAGAAAUACAAAAGGAACGCGCUAUUGGGCUAUCAAGAAACCACAACAGGGCAACAAGGAAUGGGUGAGGUAAGUAUAUAUAGGCAUCACUUACACCUGAUUGGUCCUUUUCCAUUUGGAUGGAAUGCCGGAGGGGAUCGUGGCCCUCGGAGCUUUGGCUGGAGGUAAGCUGGCAGGAAGCCUGACACAGGGC